AUGCGAUAAGUAAUGUGAAUUGCAGAAUUCAGUGAAUCAUCGAAUCUUUGAACGCACCUUGCGCUCCUUGGUAUUCCGAGGAGCAUGCCUGUUUGAGUGUCAUGAAUUCUCAACCCCCAAUGCUUUAUUGCAUUGCUUGGGGUUGGUCCUUGGGUGUUUGCCGUUCCGACGGCUCGCCUCAAAUGUAUUAGCUGGACCGCACGACGAUGCGCAGGUUCUACUCAACGUGAUAAGUUCAAUCGUUGAGGAUGCAGUUCUCCCUUGCGGAGAGAGGCAGCCUGCCGACAGUCAUGUGCACAUGUCUGCUUCUAACCCGGCAAAGGGAUACGACACCGUAUCCCUGACCUACACUUAAUGCUCUGGCCUCAAAUCAGGUAGGACUACCCGCUGAACUUAA
rnacentral:misc_RNA from 1 species